rnacentral:rRNA from 1 species
GACGAACGCUGGCGGCGUGCUUAAUACAUGCAAGUCAACGACUUUUAGAGUAGCAAUAUUUUAAAGGAAGUGGCGCACGGUGAGUAACACGUAGGUAAUCUGCCUUCAGGACUGACACAACUCGUCGAUAGACGGGCUAAUAUCAGAUAAUGCAGCGGCUCCACAUGGAGACAGUUGUUAAAGUACAAGCGCCUGAAGAUGAGCCUGCGGUCCAUUAGCUAGUUGGUAGAGUAACAGCCUACCAAGGCAACGAUGGAUAGCUGGUCUGAGAGGAUGAUCAGCCACACUGGAACUGAGACACGGUCCAGACUCCUACGGGAGGCAGCAGUAAGGAAUAUUGCUCAAUGGCCGAAAGGCUGAAGCAGCAACGCCGCCGGUGAAGGAUGAAUGGCCUUUGGCCUGUAAAC